rnacentral:lncRNA from 1 species
ACCCAAUUCAAGCCUUUGUUAAUUCCUUGGUAGUAUUUGCAGUUAAUAAAUUAGUAGAAGAUGGGUUAUCACAGUAAUCUUGAUAAGGUCCGUAAUAAGAGGGCCAAGUUUCCCUACACAAAGGAGCAGAUAAGGAACGUCUUCAAACGUCAUGACAAGAAUGGAGAUGGUCAACUUUCCAAAGAUGAGCUGGAUGCAGCCUUCAAAGAACUUGGCUCGAUAUGGCCUCCUGGUAGAGCUUGGUUUGCUCAACGGUAUGCAGAUGACGACGGCGAUGGCUUCAUUUCUAUAGACAAGGAGCUCAGCAAGCUCGUCCAGUAUGCCCUAGAAUUGAAGUAUACACUUAAGUAAUUAUAGUAUUAGUGGGUAACUAGUUCUUGUAUGUGCUUGCUAUAGAUAUAUUCCCAGCAAGCUCGUUGACUAUGCCCUCAAUUGAAUCUCUAUAUAUGUAAUCGUAGUGGUGGAGCUAAACUUGGUGUCUUAGUGGCCACAACCACUUCAAGUCUAUAUGUAACUCUGUCCGUGUGUAAGCG